ACAAAAUAUCAGAGAAAAAUAUGUCAUGGAUUUCUACUUGGUAGGCAAUCAACAAUUCCUAUCAUGCAUCGAUGUAUAUUCUAAAUUGGCUACCCUUGUAGGAGUUAAGAGUCGUGACUGGUUAGAAACAAAGAGAGCCAUCACAAAAGUCUUUAACGAAAUGGGCAAGCCACAGUGAAUUAAGGCCGACAAAGAUUCAUCCUUUAUGUGCGCAGCAUUGCAAGAAUGGGUGAAUGCGGAAAAUGUGAAAAUCGAAAUCACUACCAGUAAAAACGGAGUUUCUGAUGUAGAACGGCUACAUAAAACGAUCAAUGACAAAUUAAGAAUUAUUUCAAGCGAGGAUAAAAUAGAGAACAAGCUCACAAAAUUCGAGUUAAUUAUAUACACUUAUAAUCAUAAAUCGGUUCAUAAUACUACAAAAAGAUACCCAGCUGAUAUCUUCCUGUACGCCGGACUACCAGAUUCAAACACCCAACUGAAUAAGGUUAGGAAGAUCAAUCAUUUAAAUAACGAUAGAAUCGACUUUGAAGUAGACACACGCUACAAGAAUGCACCCCUAGUUAAAACAAAAAUAACCAAUCCGUUCAAAAUAACAGGGGAAAUUCGGCAGAGUACCCGAAGAGAGUACUGGGAAUCUGGAGCUACAACAUGAUUAAGAUUAUAAUCUUACUAAUGUUCACCGUCCUACAGUCUACCGGACAGAAUAUAGAGAUAGAUCCCAUCAACUCAAGGAAUGGAUAUCUCAUAUUCAAAACAGAUACCAUUAACAUACCCAUUAAUUAUGAAUAUUAUUAUUUAACAAUUAAUAUAACAAGAACAGAUGAAACAUAUCAGAGUUUACUAGACCAGGCAACCCAAUUUAAUAACGUAAUCCAAGUUCAAUAUUUAGUCGAGAAAUUGCAACGUGAAUUCAACGGCAUAAAUGCAGUAGGCACAAUUUAUAAAUAUCUAUUUGGAACGUUAGAUCAAGAUGAUAAAGUCGAACUAGAAGGGAAAAUAGACAAUCUGGCUAGCCACAGUGUUCAAGCUAACGAAUUAAACUUAAAAUUUCAAGCAGUAAA